rnacentral:rRNA from 1 species
UCCCCUUCGGGGGACAGGGUGACAGGUGGUGCAUGGUUGUCGUCAGCUCGUGUCGUGAGAUGUUGGGUUAAGUCCCGCAACGAGCGCAACCCUCGACCUUAGUUGCCAGCAUUCAGUUGGGCACUCUAAGGUGACUGCCGGCUAAAAGUCGGAGGAAGGUGGGGAUGACGUCAAAUCAUCAUGCCCCUUAUGACCUGGGCUACACACGUGCUACAAUGGGCGGUACAAAGGGUCGCGAACCCGUGAGGGGGAGCCAAUCCCAAAAAGCCGCUCUCAGUUCGGAUUGCAGGCUGCAACUCGCCUGCAUGAAGCCGGAAUCGCUAGUAAUCGCGGAUCAGCAUGCCGCGGUGAAUACGUUCCCGGGCCUU